rnacentral:rRNA from 1 species
CCUACGGGUGGCUGCAGUGGGGAAUAUUGGACAAUGGGCGAAAGCCUGAUCCAGCCAUGCCGCGUGUGUGAAGAAGGCCUUCGGGUUGUAAAGCACUUUCAGUGGGGAAGAAAGCCUUGGGGCUAAUACCCUCGAGGAAGGACAUCACCCACAGAAGAAGCACCGGCUAACUCCGUGCCAGCAGCCGCGGUAAUACGGAGGGUGCGAGCGUUAAUCGGAAUUACUGGGCGUAAAGCGCGCGUAGGCGGUCUGAUAAGCCGGUUGUGAAAGCCCCGGGCUCAACCUGGGAACGGCAUCCGGAACUGUCAGGCUAGAGUGCAGGAGAGGAAGGUAGAAUUCCCGGUGUAGCGGUGAAAUGCGUAGAGAUCGGGAGGAAUACCAGUGGCGAAGGCGGCCUUCUGGACUGACACUGACGCUGAGGUGCGAAAGCGUGGGUAGCAAACAGGAUUAGCUACCGAGUAGUC